rnacentral:tRNA from 1 species
UGUAGCCAAGUGGAUCAAGGCAGUGGAUUGUGAAUCCACCAUGCGCGA